UAGGUAGUUUCAUGUUGUUGGC
rnacentral:miRNA from 1 species